rnacentral:rRNA from 1 species
CAGCCGCCGCGGUAAUACGUAGGGCGCGAGCGUUAAUCGGAAUUACUGGGCGUAAAGCGUGCGCAGGCGGUUCGUUAAGACAGAUGUGAAAUCCCCGGGCUUAACCUGGGAACUGCAUUUGUGACUGGCGAGCUAGAGUAUGGCAGAGGGGGGUAGAAUUCCACGUGUAGCAGUGAAAUGCGUAGAGAUGUGGAGGAAUACCGAUGGCGAAGGCAGCCCCCUGGGCCAAUACUGACGCUCAUGCACGAAAGCGUGGGGAGCAAACAGGAUUAGAUACCCGUGUAGUCCCUGUCUCUUAUAC